rnacentral:ncRNA from 1 species
GGGUGUGGUGCGCACCGUACCACAGGCUUAGGGGAAGGUCGGGCCGCCUUCC